rnacentral:sRNA from 14 species
UCGUUAAAAAAAUGAACAAAAAAUAUACGCGAAUGAGAAAGAUGACAUUCUAUGUUCAAAACCUCUCGCAAGAAUCUCCCC